CCUACGGGUGGCAGCAGUGAGGAAUAUUGGUCAAUGGGCGCGAGCCUGAACCAGCCAAGUAGCGUGAAGGAUGACUGCCCUACGGGUUGUACACUUCUUUUAUAAAGGAAUAAAGUGAGGCACGUGUGCCUUUUUGUAUGUACUUUAUGAACAAGGAUCGGCUAACUCCGUGCCAGCAGCCGCGGUAAUACGGAGGAUCCGAGCGUUAUCCGGAUUUAUUGGGUUUAAAGUGCGCGUAGAUGGGUUGUUAAGUCAGUUGUGAAAGUUUGCGGCUCAACCGUAAAAUUGCAAUUGAUACUGGCAGUCUUGAGUACAGUUGAGGUAAGCGGAAUUCGUGGUGUAGCAGUGAAAUGCUUAGAUAUCACGAAGAACACCGAUUGCGAAGGCAGCUUACUAGACUGCCACUGACAUUGAGGCUCGAAAGUGUGGGUAUCAAACAGGAUUAGAUACCCCAGUAGUC
rnacentral:rRNA from 1 species